UGGCUCUCAAGCAAGGUCCACUUGCAGUGAAAUAAACCAGAGGUUUGAAUCAUGGCUUGAUACGAAAUUAUUGGAAAGAAUAUGGCGAUGACAUCCACAAUGCCGGAUAAAGAAAAUAUUUAGAAGAUGAGAUUCCUGUGUUUCUGGCUUUCAUUUUACUGGUCAUUCCUGCCAUGAGAAGAUGAUAGAGAAUAUCACCACAGUGUGACUUGCUUCCAAGGCAGCAUGGUUUCAUGCAGAGGAUCUAAACUGGGGACCAUGUGCUGGGCUGCAAAAGGGCUGUGCAGUGCCUAAAAUGUUAUGCAAAAUUUUAUAAAGAGUGCACACCUUCUACUUAUUAAAAAAAAAAACAAACUGUAAAACAGCAUCAUGCAGGUUCUUCAGGAGAGAUUCCAGAGGAAGGCAUUGUUGUGGUAGAAGAUGACAGUUCCACAGGUGUUACUAGCCAUGAAGAUCUUCCAGUGAGACAAGAUGUGGAGGUGGAAGACAGUGAUAUUGAUGAUUCUGAUCCUGUUGUUAUAAAUAAAGUUUCGGUUCCACAAAAGAAAUAGCACUUGAACAUAAAAUUUUCUUAUUUUCUUCACAGCAUGGCGGUUUACUUCUAAACUGCUCUUACAGAUGGAGCAAUAGUGAGCG
rnacentral:lncRNA from 1 species